rnacentral:misc_RNA from 1 species
UGGGCUGGUCUGCCGGUAGGUCCCCGACUCUUUGUGCGGCCGACUACCGGCGCCGUGUCCCGUCAUUCGUGUGGCUUAUGUUACUGUUGCCUUAAGUGCUUGCGUGCUGGUACCCGACCUACGGGAAGUGGUGCAUCAUACACGGUUGCCUCGCGGUGGACGCCUUCAGGUGUGCUGCUGCGGCCAAAUGGCGGUUGCGUCGUUGCCUCGUGGUUCCGGCACGUUUUCGUGCCUGGUGCUACCAGGGCAGCCUUGCUCCCGCUGUUGGUUUCGGAUGUCSCUCACSAUAAAAGCUCAUGGCCCUUUCGGUUGCCUUGAACUGACCCCAAAUAUGCCUUCCUCGUUGAAAACCACCGUUUUUCUCAACUCCUAAGGGGAUAUUGGCCCCCUCAAUUACCACCACCGGGCCCACCGGUGACUCCCUCAAUUAAUUAGGCCUCCUUGAUWAMAACAAYYWUUUUCYCAACUYGGURGUUGGGGGCCAACSACUCCGCGCCCGAMCUCA